rnacentral:rRNA from 1 species
UGAGGAAUAUUGGUCAAUGGACGCAAGUCUGAACCAGCCAAGUAGCGUGCAGGAUGACGGCCCUAUGGGUUGUAAACUGCUUUUAUAUGGGGAUAAAGUGGGGAACGUGUUCCCUUUUGCAGGUACCAUAUGAAUAAGGACCGGCUAAUUCCGUGCCAGCAGCCGCGGUAAUACGGAAGGUUCGGGCGUUAUCCGGAUUUAUUGGGUUUAAAGGGAGCGUAGGCCGUUUGGUAAGCGUGUUGUGAAAUGUAGGAGCUCAACUUCUAGAUUGCGGCGCGAACUGGCAGACUUGAGUGCGCACAACGUAGGCGGAAUUCAUGGUGUAGCGGUGAAAUGCUUAGAUAUCAUGACGAACUCCGAUUGCGAAGGCAGCUUACGGGAGCGCAACUGACGCUAAAGCUCGAAGGUGCGGGUAUCGAACAGG